UACGUAGGGUGCAAGCGUUGUCCGGAAUUAUUGGGCGUAAAGAGCUCGUAGGCGGUCUGUUGCGUCGGCUGUGAAAACCCGGGGCUCAACCCCGGGCCUGCAGCCGAUACGGGCAGACUAGAGUUCGGCAGGGGAGACUGGAAUUCCUGGUGUAGCGGUGAAAUGCGCAGAUAUCAGGAGGAACACCGGUGGCGAAGGCGGGUCUCUGGGGCCGAAUACUGACGCUGAGGAGCGAAAGCGUGGGGGAGCGA
rnacentral:rRNA from 1 species